UACGGAGGGAGCUAGCGUUAUUCGGAAUUAUUGGGCGUAAAGGGCGCGUAGGCGGCCCGGUAAGUCAAAGGUGAAAUCCCUCGGCUCAACUGAGGAACUGCCUUUGAAACUGUCGGGCUUGAGGCCGGGAGGGGGUAGCGGAAUUCCCAGUGUAGCGGUGAAAUGCGUAGAUACUGGGAGGAACACCAGUGGCGAAGGCG
rnacentral:rRNA from 1 species